UACAGAGGGUGCAAGCGUUGUUCGGAAUUACUGGGCGUAAAGCGCGCGUAGGCGGACCUGCAAGUCGGGGGUGAAAGCCCGAGGCUCAACCUCGGAACUGCCUUCGAUACUGCGGGUCUCGAGUCCGGGAGAGGUGAGUGGAAUUCCUAGUGUAGAGGUGAAAUUCGUAGAUAUUGGGAGGAACACCAGUGGCGAAGGCGGCUACCUGGACCGGUUCUGACGCUGAUGCGCGAAAGCGUGGGUAGCAAACAGG
rnacentral:rRNA from 1 species